GAUUUUCUUCCUUCUUCUGUUUUCUUAUCAAGUUCUUGUUCUUGUUCAUGUUCUGUGUAAUAAUUUGUUGUUACUUCUAUUUUGUUUCAUCGAGACGAAGUCUCGUUGGUUUCAAACAUGAAGCAGAAAAGUGGAUAGAGGUUGUCUCUUGGGUUGAAGCCAAAGAAGGAAGUUUAUAUAUAUUACACAAACUAAAAUGAAAGAAAGAAGUUAGGAUUUAUAUAGAGACUCUUUUCUUGUAUUGUUAUGACGAGCAAAGACAUGUUACUUCAUCAGCAAGUACAACAACAACAAGAGGAGAAUAUGUCGAAUCUAACAUCUUCUGGGGAUCAAGCAAGUGUCUCUUCAGGAAACAGAACUGAAGCAAGUGGUUCUAAUUUCUUCCAUCAUCAACAACAACAAGAAGAACAACAACAGUUCUUUGUUCCGGAACCUCAGCCUCAAAAGAAGAGGAGAAACCAACCAGGGAAUCCAGACCCCGAGUCAGAAGUGAUUGCUUUGUCACCAAAAACACUGAUGGCAACAAAUAGGUUCGUCUGUGAGAUCUGCAACAAAGGAUUCCAAAGAGACCAGAAUCUACAGCUUCACAGAAGAGGUCACAAUCUGCCAUGGAAGCUAAAACAACGAUCCAACAAAGAAGUGAUAAGGAAGAAAGUGUAUGUAUGUCCUGAAACAAGCUGUGUCCACCAUGAUCCAUCUCGAGCUCUCGGUGACUUAACCGGAAUCAAGAAGCAUUUCUCCAGAAAGCACGGAGAGAAGAAGUGGAAAUGUGAUAAAUGUUCAAAGAAAUAUGCUGUUCAAUCAGAUUGCAAGGCUCAUUCUAAGACUUGUGGCACCAAAGAAUACAAAUGUGACUGUGGCACUCUCUUUUCCAGGAGGGAUAGUUACAUAACUCAUAGAGCAUUUUGUUUAGCACUGGCAGAAGAGACAGCAAGAGAAGUAGUAACACCACAAGACCAGAAUCAUCAACCAAACCCUCUAAUGAUUCACCAAUCGUCUCAUCAUCAUCAUCAAGCACAACCAAACAUGAACAUCUCUUCCUCAUCUUCCUCUUCCCACAACAUCAUCAAUACUCUUCACUUCGAAACCAACGUUAAUGUGACUAAUAAUUGUGAGAGUAGCAGCAACCAUCCCCAUACAUUUCCCAUGAAGAUAGAGCAACAACAAACCGGUGAUCAAAUCAUCAAUUACCACCACCAUGGCGUCCCUCCUUGGCUUGCUCCUCAGCCGCAAGAUCUCACUUCUUCAAACCCUAACCCUAGUAAUGGUGGUGGAGGAGGAGGAGGAGGAGGUUUGUUCUCUCUUGCAGCUUCUCCGGCUAUGUCAGCCACAGCAUUACUCCAGAAAGCAGCCCAAAUGGGUUCCACAAGAACAACUCCUUUGCCACCAACCACCGACUUCGAGAGGUCUCAUAACACCCUCACCACGACAAUGGCGUCGAUGAUGACGUCACCGUCGGGAUUCAUCAGCUCAAACAACAACAAUCAAGUCUUGUUUCAAGACUACAACGCCUCCGGGUUUAACCAUCAUCACGGUGGAGGAGAAGCCUUCGACAACACAUUCAGCGGGCUCUUCAGGACAAACGCUGAUACUACAUCAGACAAGAAUAAAAGCGGUGAAGGCGGUGGAGGAAGAGAGGGUUUGACGAGAGACUUCUUGGGGCUAAGACCGUUAAUGUCUCAUAACGAAAUUCUAAGUUUUGCCGGUCUCGGGAAUUGCAUUAACGACGCUGCUUCCGAUCAGCUUCAUCCAAAGCCUUGGCAGGGUAACUGAAACCUAAAAGAGAAGUGAAAAGGUAAAGUGAAAGAAAGAUUGGUAUAUAAGAAAUUAAUUAUGAAAUGAGGCACAUGAAAGCAUAAAGUAAGGAGGAUAUGCAUUGGAUUCGAUAUAAGGGACGCAAGUGGGAUCCAACAAAAGAUAGGGACGCGCAUCAAGUUUUGCUAGGUGGCGUGUAUGAAACAUAUGUACAUCAGUACAUGUCACACACAGUGCCGGACUAACAUUUUCCACUACCCCAAUCAAAAUUUAAAAUUAUGCUUUUGUACAUAUUUUAUCAAAAUCAUAAAACAGUAUAAAACAACUUUAAUUUUUAUUAAAUAGAAAUGGAAGUCUAUAGUUUGUUCAGGAAAUAAAACUGUGAUAAAAAUAUUUAUUGGUAAAAUUAAUUUUGUUUUUUAUUU